GACAGAGGGUGCAAACGUUGCUCGGAAUCACUGGGCGUAAAGGGCGUGUAGGCGGGCAGGUAAGUCGGGCGUGAAAUCCCUGGGCUCAACCCAGGAACUGCACUCGAAACUACUUGUCUUGAGUGUCGGAGAGGAAAGCGGAAUUCCUGGUGUAGAGGUGAAAUUCGUAGAUAUCAAGUGGAACACCAGUGGCGAAGGCGAGUCUCUGGACAUUUCCUGACGCUGAGGCACGAAAGCCAGGGGAGCAAACGGG
rnacentral:rRNA from 1 species